UACGGAGGGGGCUAGCGUUGUUCGGAAUUACUGGGCGUAAAGCGCACGUAGGCGGCUUUGCAAGUUAGAGGUGAAAGCCCGGGGCUCAACUCCGGAAUUUGCCUUUAAAACUGCAUCGCUAGAAUUGUGGAGAGGUAAGUGGAAUUCCGGAGUGUAGAGGUGAAAUUCGUAGAUAUUCGGAAGAACACCAGUGGCGAAGGCGACUCGCUGGACAGGUAUCGACGCUGAGGUGCGAAAGCGUGGGGAGCAAACAGGG
rnacentral:rRNA from 1 species